GCGGCGCGGGCAGAGCCCUCGGCGUCCAGGCGACCGGGGUGUCAGCUGGUCAGGGCGCAGGGCGGCUAGCCAGCAAAGCGGAGGCGCGCGACGGCCUGACCCAGCCGGCCAGAUGCCAGUGCGGGAGUGACAGUGAGGUGAGGCCGGCACGAGCCUUCCAGCGACGUCUCCGUCUCCGUCUCCCUCUCCCUCUCGUCUGUUUGCACCCGGCAUAAUUGAUCGUCGUUUCUUUUUGAUUUGUGGGCGCGGCUGCUGUUCGGCAAAAUGCCUCGAGGGAGAACGGUCAAGGGAGCGGUGCAGCAGCCGGCUGGUGGCAGCGGGGGCAUUGAAUCACUGCCUGAUGGAGUCCUUGAACACAUCCUUGGCUUCUUGCCGUCUGCGGAGGCCGUCCGCACUAGCAUGCUCGCCCGCAGAUGGCGCCACCGCGACCCAGAUCAACAGCUGUCUGUGGAGGAUCUCUGGAGCUUGGUGAACCAUCUGCUGGUCCUCCGCAGAGGCUCGCCCCUUGAGAAAUGCUAUUUCACGUUCGAUGCUGAGCUCACCAGCCAUGAUGUUCCCAGUUUAUUUUUAAAAGGGAUUUGAGAUGGUGCCCUGUGUUUACAAAUCUAAAGACCUUGUUGCGUUGCUGAAUGGCUACUGGUAUGUGCCUGAUGACGUCCAUGCACUUGCGUUUAUUCUUGAACACUCAUCUGUUCUAAGAGAAGCUCACUUUUGAACAUCACGAGUGGUUUGGAGAUAAAGUGCAAAUCAAACUACGUGUCAGUUCAAUGAAGCGAGCAACUGCAAUUUCAGAACACCUUAAGAAAGUCGAGAUCAAGUGUCAAAAGGUUCACGAUACAGUUCUCAAGGUUUUGAAGUUCCUGUGUGCAUUUAACAUAUGGUUUGUGGUGGAAAUGAUCAGGUGAACACUGGUACAAAAUGAUCUGAUAAUCAUGCGAGCUAACACUAACUUCAUUUUUAUAGAACAUUUACCCAACUUUGGCAUAACUGCAUUGUUCUGAAGUUUAAUAAAACAAAAAUAUGUCGUCAACCGCAACUGUGCCCAUGGAUAGAUAAUUUCUAAUUUCUUACUCUAUUCCCCUUGGAUCUUAUUCCUAUUUUCACAUUGAUCAGGCUUCAGUUUAGAUGAAAUGGUUAGAGUAGAAUUGGAGCCACAAUGAUGCUAUAUUCUAUCCCUCUGUCUAAUGUGGUUCGGGUGAAGAUAGAUUCUCUAGUCACCUGCUUAGACCAUCUACCUGUAAUUUAAGUGCUGGCUUAUAUUAUCAAUCUCACUUUUGUUCAUCU